GCUGGCGGCGUGCUUAAACAUGCAAGUCGAACGGGAUCCAAGGCGCUUUUUGUGUUUUGGUGAGAGUGGCGAACGGGUGAGUAACACGUGAGUAACCUGCCCCCUUCUUUUGGAUAACCGCAUGAAAGUGUGGCUAAUACAGGAUAUUCCAGGCUGGUCGCAUGAUUGGUUUGGGAAAUGGUUUGGUCUGGUGGGGGAUGGGCUCGCGGCCUAUCAGCUUGUUGGUGGGGUGAUGGCCUACCAAGGCGGUGACCGGUAGCCGGCCUGAGAGGGUGGGCGGUCACACUGGGACUGAAAUACCGCCCAAACUCCUACCGGAGGCAGCAGUGGGGGAUUUUGCACAAUGGGCGCAAGCCUGAUGCAACGACCCCCCGUGAGGGAUGAAGGCCUUCGGGUUGUAAACCUCUUUCGCUGGGUUGAAAGGCCAUGCUUUGGGUGUGGUUGAUUUGAACUGGUAAAAAAAUACCGGCUAACUACCUGCCAGCAGCCGGG
rnacentral:rRNA from 1 species